rnacentral:rRNA from 1 species
GACGAACGCUGGCGGCGUGCCUAAUACAUGCAAGUCGAACGCUUCUUUCCUCCCGAGUGCUUGCACUCAAUUGGAAAGAGGAGUGGCGGACGGGUGAGUAACACGUGGGUAACCUACCCAUCAGAGGGGGAUAACACUUGGAAACAGGUGCUAAUACCGCAUAACAGUUUAUGCCGCAUGGCAUAAGAGUGAAAGGCGCUUUCGGGUGUCGCUGAUGGAUGGACCCGCGGUGCAUUAGCUAGUUGGUGAGGUAACGGCUCACCAAGGCCACGAUGCAUAGCCGACCUGAGAGGGUGAUCGGCCACACGGGGACUGAGACACGGCCCAGACUCCUACGGGAGGCAGCAGUAGGGAAUCUUCGGCAAUGGACGAAAGUCUGACCGAGCAACGCCGCGUGAGUGAAGAAGGUUUUCGGAUCGUAAAACCCUGUUGUUAGAGAAGAACAAGGACGUUAGUAACUGAACGUCCCCUGACGGUAUCUAACCAGAAAGCCACGGCUAACUACGUG